GACGAACGCUGGCGGCGUGCUUAACACAUGCAAGUCGAACGGAAAGGCCCUGCUUUUGUGGGGUGCUCGAGUGGCGAACGGGUGUGUAACACGUGAGUAACCUGCCCUUGACUUUGGGAUAACUUCAGGAAACUGGGGCUAAUACCGGAUAGGAGCUCCUGCUGCAUGGUGGGGGUUGGAAAGUUUCGUCGGUUGGGGAUGGACUCGCGGCUUAUCAGCUUGUUGGUGGGGUAGUGGCUUACCAAGGCUUUGACGGGUAGCCGGCCUGGGGGGGGGACCGGCCACAUUGGGACUGGGUUACGGCCCAGACUCCUACGGGAGGCAGCAGUGGGGAAUAUUGCACAAUGGGCGGAAGCCUGAUGCAGCAACGCCGCUGGCGGGAUGACGGCCUUCGGUUGUUAAACCGCUUUCGCCUGUGACGAAGCGUGAGUGACGGUAAUGGGUAAAGAAGCACCGGCUAACUACGUG
rnacentral:rRNA from 1 species